AUUGAACGCUGGCGGCAUGCUUACACAUGCAAGUCGAACGGUAACAGGCCGCAAGGUGCUGACGAGUGGCGAACGGGUGAGUAAUGCAUCGGAACGUGCCCAGUCGUGGGGGAUAACGCAGCGAAAGCUGUGCUAAUACCGCAUACGAUCUAUGGAUGAAAGCGGGGGACCGUAAGGCCUCGCGCGAUUGGAGCGGCCGAUGUCAGAUUAGGUAGUUGGUGGGGUAAGGGCUCACCAAGCCAACGAUCUGUAGCUGGUCUGAGAGGACGACCAGCCACACUGGGACUGAGACACGGCCCAGACUCCUACGGGAGGCAGCAGUGGGGAAUUUUGGACAAUGGGCGCAAGCCUGAUCCAGCAAUGCCGCGUGCAGGAAGAAGGCCUUCGGGUUGUAAACUGCUUUUGUACGGAACGAAAAGGUUUGGGUUAAUACCCUGGGCCGAUGACGGUACCGUAAGAAUAAGCACCGGCUAACUACGUGCCAGCAGCCGCGGUAAAAC
rnacentral:rRNA from 1 species